UUGCAGUCUGUCCCAUAGCGCUACAUCCAUGCACAAUGCGCGUCUCCUUGUUGCCAUGGCGACAAGAUCUUCCAUUUUUCGGUCUAGUUGGGAGGCGUCUCAUACCCGCCCGUCGUAUUUAUACCCUCCCCUUAAAAUUGAGGCGCACUCCACAGCUGCGAGUGUGACUUAAUUACGAGUGACACUCGGUAGUGAAGGGUGAGUGUGUAGGGGGCGGUUUGGGAUUGGGCCGGAGUCUUUUUUGUGUGUGGAGUCUCCCUUUUUCCCCUCACAGAAGUUGGGCGGCUUCUCGUCAGCUGAAGCUCCUCCUGCACCUUCACACCUGCACCAGAUCAAGCUAAUCACAACCUGCUCUCAAACUCUGCUCUCUGACUGCUCAGUGCCUGAUUAUUCCCACUUGGUACAGUGGUAUCUAUGCCUCUAGUGAGUAUUUUUAAGAUUUUGAGACUUUUUCUGUGACUGCUCAGCCUGAUAUUUACCCCUGUUGUCUUCCUUCUCUUCUAGUACCUCCACCAGCCGCCAGCGCCUACCCAACCUCUGUCACGACUGCCACACUCUCUGUUCAGCUCCACUCACCUGUUGUCUUCUCCGGCUCACAUACAGCCUCACCCCUUCACCACGGAUCUCCUCCACCCCUUGGACAACGGACCUCUAGCCAUCCUGCACCUAUCCUUAUUAAUAAAACCAUUUAAAGCUUCCUCUGCCUCCACUGCCUGCUUUUGGGUCCCUUCAGGAAAAUAAACCAUUACAUCGAUGCCAGUAACAUUUCAAAAAUAUUUGGACGAAGAGGACAGAAAUGUGUGAUGCUUAAAAAUCCCUUGAGGAACACCUCCAAACUAAUCCGGCUAAUUUGCAACAGGUUAAUAACACCACUGAGAGUAAAAAAAUUGUGUUUCAGAGAAGCUGAGUCUCUCAAAAGUAAAGAUGGGGUGCAGUUUACCAAUCUGUGAGAACUGAGUGAUCACAUUUGUCAAUAAUGAAAUCUUAAAUAACACAAAAAUGGGACAACAAUUCACUUUCAAAACUCAAGAAACUUGAUCUCCAAAUGUUUUGCAUUUUGUUAAAAUAACAACAAUGCAACACAAUGAUAAACACAGCCCUGUCCCAAUGUUUUAAAAAAAAGUUAUUAACAUCAAAUUUAAGAUAUGAAAAUGUUUUAUAUUAAACAGUGGGGCUAGGGUAACAAAAGUCCAUAUUUGAAAUGUUGUCCUAGUAAGAUUUUCAUUUGAAUUUAGGCCUGAAAUGACUUUCAAAGCUUCGGUCUUCCACUUCAUCAACAUUUUACUCAAUAUCCAAACCUCUCAGUGAUGUAAAUGAUGCUGAUAUGCGAAUGUCUUGUUCUUUUGUAGACUGGAGACUCUCAGAGUUGUCUUCAUCCAGUGCUGCUGCUGAUGAUCUGGACAUAUAAUCAACCUUCACCCGCGGGAUUAAUGAGUGUGAAGGUAGGAUUGGGGGGGGUAGACGUGAUGGACUCUGCCACACCAUCCACCUGCAGGACCACCACUAUUUUCAGGUCUGCUAUUGGCCCCUCAAUCUCCUCUACAUCUGGAUCCACAUCUGCUGCCACCACCUCCAGGUCCACAACUGGCUCCUCAGUCCCCCUAACAUCCACAACUUUAAGUUCCACUGCUGACCAUGCUGUCCAGUGCACUUCUAUAUCCUCCUCCUCCUCACCUAGUCCCAGCCCAACUGGCUCGACCUUAUAUAGAAAGAAAAUAAGAGCAGAGAAAGACAGGGAGGUGCUCCGGAAGGCCAGGGACACAAGCCCCUAAUCUCAGCCUGCAGGUGUCUGUGAUAUCUGUGGCCAUGCUAGACACCACCAGGCCAAGCAUGAUUACUUCAGGGGCGAGUUCUUCUGCCCCUCUGAGAAGGGAUGCGAUUCAAAGACUCUGUGGGAACCAAUGGAUGGCACAGUGAAAGGGCUGGGCAGCCAGAUGGGAAAACAACAAGAAAACCAUAUAAGCUGCGGGUCUGCCAGAAGUUUGGUCAACCCUUUCAAAAGGAUUUUGGCCACAGCCAGCAUGCGGUGGGGAGGAAAAAGGCUUUCUUUUGUGCUCUGUAUGAGAAGAAAAGUGUUGAGCUGUGGCUGGCAGAAAGGAGGGCUGGGCAGGAGGAGGAGGAAAACAGAGGAGCCAGGCAAGAGGAGAAGGAAAGACCGGGGGGCCAGGUUGGAGGAGGAGGAGUGAAGGAGGGAAAGGAUAGAGGGCUCUUUUUUAGUGUAAACAAUGUUGAUAUUAUUCAUCUCAUUUUUUUGUAAAAGGUUUGAAUGUGGUUUGUGAUCAUUGUAGUUGUAUUUUUAGAUUUUACUACUUUUUUUAUGAGUAAAGCAGAAUCUGGUGACCAAUUUGUGUUUGCUGAAAUCUUGAGCAGGAACCAUCACUGUGGUGGGCAGCAUUUCAAGAUUAUUUACAGCUUUCACUUAAACAUCCGUUAUUACAAUAACCUGAUAACACAUGGAGAAAUAGAGAAAAAUUGACCAUGUCCACCACGGUUGUAAUUAAGAGCUGCAUGAUGUAACAUCACUUUGCUUACUUCUUAGCUGAAUCAUUACCUCCUGUGUUUUUUUUCUAAAGAACGGUAGAAUAUGUAUGUUGACAUAUUCUACCACAUUGUGUCACUUUUUAUCACCUUAUUUUAAGGAUUGUUUAAGGACUUAAAUCAUGAUUGGUAGUCACAGUGUAGAGUGUGAACCCUUAUCCAAGACUCCAAAUGCUUAUUUGCCUUGUUUAAUUCACUUAAUUCCUUAUUCUUUAAAUUUUCUUUCUUCUUUAUGUCCCUAAUUUCCCUUUCAAUCCGCCUUGAUAAUAUGCUGCGUGAACGACGCAGAGCCAAAGCUGCUUGUAUCCCUACUUUUAGGGCCCCUUCCCCUUUUCAGUCCUUGCCCCCAUGCUUCCCAGGGUCUCCGUGUGCUAUCGAAGCUUCCCCUGAGUCAAAUGAUUCCCCAUCAGCAAAGGAACCCAUGCAAGUGGCUGAAGCACACCUCACUCCAAAAGAACGGCAGCACCGUAUGAACUCAGGCCUCUGCAUCUACUGUGGCAAUUCUGGACAUUUCCUGGCUACCUGCCCCCAGCGACCAAAAGCCGAGGCUCAUCAGCAACCAAGGGGUCCCUGAUGAGCCACACCACCUCCUCCAUAGUGGCCCCUCCCAACUGAAUAUAUCUUCAGGCCUCUCUCCUCUGGAACAGUGAGUCAAUCCCUCUGAUUUCAUUAGUUGAUUCUGGGGCUGAUGAUAAUUUUAUUGAUUCUGCUAUUGUGAGCCAGGCUGGCAUUCCCACUGAACCCUUAGAUUCCCCCAAGACAGUUUGUACUCUUGACGGAAAGUUAUUGGCUAAAGUGACCCAUUGCACCACCCCUAUUACACUCUUAGUUUCAGGAAAUCACCGGGAAACAAUCAAGUUUUUUGUUCUCCCUUCACCUCAGGUCCCCAUUGUUCUUGGUUUACCCUGGCUUAGGUUACACAACCCCCACAUUGAUUGGUUUCAAGGUGCAAUUGUUAAUUGGAGAACUUUCUGCCACUCGAACUGUCUCAAGUCAGCCCUAGCCUUUCACUCCCUGAACUUCCAGAUUUAACCUCAGUGCCUCCAGAGUAUCAUGAUUUAGGUGAGGUGUUCAGCAGAUCACAAGCCCUUUCCCUUCCCCCUCACCGUCCUUAUGACUGUUCCAUUGAUCUGCUCCCUGGGGCCCCCUUACCAUCCAGCCGUCUGUAUGACCUCUCUAAACCUGAACGGGAAUCCAUGGAGAAGUACAUUCAUGAAUCUUUAGCUGCUGGUCUAAUCCGCCUCUCUUCUUCUCCUCUUGGUGCUGGUUUUUUCUUUGUGGAGAAGAGAGACAAGUCCCUACGCCCCUGCAUAGACUUCAGAGGUUUAAAUGCCAUCACUGUCAAAAAUAAGUACCCACUUCCCCUUAUUGAUUCAGCCUUUGAACCCCUGCAAAAUGCUACAGUCUUUUCCAAACUGGAGCUACGCAAUGCAUACCACCUAAUUCAAAUCAAAGAAGGAGAUGAGUGGAAGACAGCAUUCAACACCCCGCUGGGCCACUUUGAAUACCAAGUUAUGCCCUUUGGUCUAACAAAUGCCCCCGCUGUCUUCCAGGCUCUAGUAAAUGACGUGCUCCGGGACAUGCUCAACAAGUUCAUCUUUGUUUACCUGGAUGAUAUCCUCAUUUUUUCCAGGGACAUGCAGGAGCAUGUGCUACAUGUCAGGCUAGUUCUCCGCAGACUCCUCCAGAACAAACUAUUUGUUAAAGCGGAGAAAUGCGAAUUCCACGUCCCUUCAGUGAGCUUCCUGGGCUUCAUCAUUGAGCAGGGGCAGUUAAAGGCAGACCCAGCCAAAACCCAAGCAGUGAGAGACUGGCCCACACCUUCAAACCGUAAGCAACUGCAACGCUUUCUAGGUUUUGCCAACUUUUACAGACGCUUCAUUAGGAACUACAGUCAGGUUGCCACUCCACUCACCCAACUCACUUCCACCUCAUCUCCCUUUGCCUGGACCCCAAGAGCUGAAACGGCUUUCACCAAGUUAAAACAGCUGUUCUCCUCAGCCCCUGUCCUGACCCAUCCAGACCCCCAUCUUCAUUGUUGAGGUGGAUGCAUCAGAAUCUGGAGUUGGUGCAGUCCUUUCCCAGAGAUGUCCCGCAGAUCAAAAGUUACAUCCCUGUGCCUUUUUCUCCCAUCGACUCUCACCUGCUGAACGUAAUUAUGACGUUGGCAACCGUGAGUUAUUAGCUGUGGUUCUGGCAUUACAGGAAUGGAGACACUGGCUAGAGGGAACUGAGCAACCAUUUAUUGUCUGGACUGAUCACAAAAAAUCUAGCUUAUCUACAUUCAGCCCGGAGGCUCAAUUCUAGACAAGCUCGUUGGGCCCUCUCCCUUGGAAGAUUUGAGUUCUCCCUAACCUAUCGCCCCGGCUCAAGGAACAUCAAGCCUGAUGCCCUCUCCCGUCAAUCUGCCCCUGAGAUUGAGGAAACUCAGCCUGAGACCAUACUUUGGUCUCAGGCUGAGUUUGGUUUUGGUGGCCCACUAUGUCCCAGGAUACUUGUGCCUUUGUGUCCUCCUGUCUGUCUGUGCUCACAGCAAACCAUCCCACCAGGCUCCCGCUGGAUUGCUGCGCCCCCUGCCCACCCCAGGCAUCCUUGGUCACAUAUAGCUGUGGACUUUGUCUCAGGUUUGCCUCCUUCUGAAGGUAACACUACCAUCCUUACCAUAGUGGACCGGUUUUCCAAGGCUGUACACUUUGUUCCCCUAACUGUCGAGGUAAACCUCCAAAACUCAGAUUUGUACUCCCAAGAUGGCCACCCAUGGGACAUUCAAGAUGGCCGCCCCUUGGUACACCUAAAAUGGCCGCCCUGUACACCAAAGAUGGCCAACCUUUGGGUGUCAGCUGAUUAGGAACACCUGAAAAGCUGUGUGAGUUGUGGCAGAGAACAAAAGAGCAAACAACUUCAAGCAGAAGCAGCUCCACAAAAAGGACAAAGAAUCAAGAACCACUCAACUAUACAAGUUCCAUGACGCUAAUGGUCGGUAGUCUUUUCACUUACCUUGUGUGUUUGAAAUGUGUUAGAGAUGCUGCUUGUUAAGUGCUACUGUUAAAAUGUAUCGUGGGAAAAGGAAGUAUUGCAUUGCAGCAACAUUUGCUUUAAGUUUAAGUACUGAUUUGUUGGUAGAACUUUAUUUGAAAAGGCCCUAAUUUAUCUUGCUUAUUUGCUUAAGAAGAAGGUCUAAGUUAAAAGUUUAAAAUUUACUUACAUUGGAAUUUACUUACCUUUUACAAUUUAAAAGUUUAGUUUAAUCUAAAGACAAUUUAAAAUGCUUAAACAUAUCAUUUAAAGUUUAAACUCGAUGUACAAAAGUUACAAAAAUAAUUGAAUGUUUAACUUGAUAAGCUGCCUUAAAACACUUAGUUUAAAUAAAUUAAUUGGUUAAAACAUUGGUUGAUUAACUAAAAAUGUUUAAAUGUGUUUAAAUUAAUGGCAACAUUUAAAAUUUAAUUAUUGAAUUGUUAAAAGUGAUUUAUUCUUUGAUAUGGCAUGUUGCUAAUUGUUG